UGGUGGAGUGAUUUGUCUGGUUAAUUCCGUUAACGAACGAGACCUCAGCCUACUAAAUAGUUGGACAAACAUUUUUGUUUGUUACAACUUCUUAGAGGGACAUUCGGUUUCGAGCCGAAGGAAGUUUGAGGCAAUAACA
rnacentral:rRNA from 1 species